CAGCUGCUUUUCUUUGCUGAGAGAUACUGCACAUUGGACAUCAUUUUGUGAAAAUGACACAAAAUGUUGGAUUUUGCAACAAACAAGAUGGUGCCUUGUUGACUAGCAAGCCCUGCUCUUCCGGCUACAAUGAGGUCUCCAAACCAGGGCUUGAAAACUAUUUUAUUUUUCAAUCGUUCCGUUCAGAAUGGUUCAGCAUCUCUUGGCGUCCUCAAUGAGAGCAGAGAGGGAGGCUAUGAAGAAGAGGUCACCAAGGGUCACCAAUGAAGGCCUUGAUGGUAGUCGACUUGCUGACCGUGUACAUUUUGAAUACGGGGAUAAGGAAGAUGGAGCGCCUUUCCAUGUCUAUGUCUCUCGCUCAGAGAUGGAGGCUCAACGGCACAGUGAGGAAGCUACCAAGACCCUGGCCUGCAGUCGGCUCACUGACUCUGUUCCCAAGUCUGUCCUGUAUGCCGAGGCCAUAGACAAGGGACACCUCCCUGAGAACAAUAUGAGUGCAAGAAAAAGGAAGGCCCUGAUUCUCCUGAGCAUACAUUAAAUA